rnacentral:rRNA from 3 species
UCCUGGUCGGACAUCAGGAGGUUAGUGCAAUGGCAUAAGCCAGCUUGACUGCGAGCGUGACGGCGCGAGCAGGUGCGAAAGCAGGUCAUAGUGAUCCGGUGGUUCUGAAUGGAAGGGCCAUCGCUCAACGGAUAAAAGGUACUCCGGGGAUAACAGGCUGAUACCGCCCAAGAGUUCAUAUCGACGGCGGUGUUUGGCACCUCGAUGUCGGCUCAUCACAUCCUGGGGCUGAAGUAGGUCCCAAGGGUAUGGCUGUUCGCCAUUUAAAGUGGUACGCGAGCUGGGUUUAGAACGUCGUGAGACAGUUCGGUCCCUAUCUGCCGUGGGCGCUGGAGAACUGAGGGGGGCUGCUCCUAGUACGAGAGGACCGGAGUGGACGCAUCACUGGUGUUCGGGUUGUCAUGCCAAUGGCACUGCCCGGUAGCUAAAUGCGGAAGAGAUAAGUGCUGAAAGCAUCUAAGCACGAAACUUGCCCCGA